GACGAACGCUGGCGGCGUGCCUAAUACAUGCAAGUAGAACGCACAGGAUGCACCGUAGUUUACUACACCGUAUUCUGUGAGUUGCGAACGGGUGAGUAACGCGUAGGUAACCUGCCUGGUAGCGGGGGAUAACUAUUGGAAACGAUAGCUAAUACCGCAUAAGAACAUUUACUGCAUGGUAGAUGUUUAAAAGGUGCAAAUGCAUCACUACCAGAUGGACCUGCGUUGUAUUAGCUAGUAGGUGAGGUAACGGCUCACCUAGGCGACGAUACAUAGCCGACCUGAGAGGGUGAUCGGCCACACUGGGACUGAGACACGGCCCAGACUCCUACGGGAGGCAGCAGUAGGGAAUCUUCGGCAAUGGGGGGAACCCUGACCGAGCAACGCCGCGUGAGUGAAGAAGGUUUUCGGAUCGUAAAGCUCUGUUGUUAAAGGAAAGAAACGAAGUGUGAGAAAGGAAAAGUUCC
rnacentral:rRNA from 1 species